UUGUUUUUGUUAUGAUAUUACAUUCAUUACUAACAGUUUGUGAUGGCCGAAGCCACAGUUCACGGUGUGUAUGGAAACCCUCUUCUUGCGAAGAGAGCAGAUCUAACCCAAUGAUUUGCAUCAGAGGGCACUAUUAAUGAUCCUUCCGCAGGUUCACCUACGGAAA
rnacentral:misc_RNA from 1 species